GAAGGCGGCUUUCUGGACUGUAACUGACACUGAGGCACGAAAGCGUGGGGAGCAAACAGGAUUAGAUACCCCUGGUAGUCCACGCUGUAAACGAUGAAUACUAGGUGUAGGGGGUAUCAACUCCCUCUGUGCCGCAGCAAACGCAAUAAGUAUUCCGCCUGGGGAGUACGGCCGCAAGGUUGAAACUCAAAGGAAUUGACGGGGGCCCGCACAAGCAGCGGAGCAUGUGGUUUAAUUCGAAGCAACGCGAAGAACCUUACCAAGGCUUGACAUCCUGCUAAGCUCAUGGAAACAUGAGGUCCCUUCGGGGGAGCAGAGACAGGUGGUGCAUGGUUGUCGUCAGCUCGUGUCGUGAGAUGUUGGGUUAAGUCCCGCAACGAGCGCAACCCUUGUUGCCAGUUACCAGCGGAUAAUGCCGGGGACUCUGGUGAGACUGCCGGGGACAACUCGGAGGAAGGUGGGGACGACGUCAAAUCAUCAUGCCCCUUACGUCUUGGGCUACACACGUGCUACAAUGGCUGUAACAAAGGGAAGCGACAG
rnacentral:rRNA from 1 species